AAAUUGAAGAGUUUGAUCAUGGCUCAGAUUGAACGCUGGCGGCAGGCCUAACACAUGCAAGUCGAACGGUAACAGGAAGCAGCUUGCUGCUUUGCUGACGAGUGGCGGACGGGUGAGUAAUGUCUGGGAAACUGCCUGAUGGAGGGGGAUAACUACUGGAAACGGUGGCUAAUACCGCAUAACGUCGCAAGACCAAAGAGGGGGACCUUCGGGCCUCUUGCCAUCAGAUGUGCCCAGAUGGGAUUAGCUUGUUGGUGAGGUAACGGCUCACCAAGGCGACGAUCCCUAGCUGGUCUGAGAGGAUGACCAGCCACACUGGAACUGAGACACGGUCCAGACUCCUACGGGAGGCAGCAGUGGGGAAUAUUGCACAAUGGGCGCAAGCCUGAUGCAGCCAUGCCGCGUGUAUGAAGAAGGCCUUCGGGUUGUAAAGUACUUUCAGCGGGGAGGAAGGUGUUGUGGUUAAUAACCGCAGCAAUUGACGUUACCC
rnacentral:rRNA from 10 species